GCAGUGGGGAAUAUUGGACAAUGGGCGAAAGCCUGAUCCAGCCAUGCCGCGUGUGUGAAGAAGGUCUUCGGAUUGUAAAGCACUUUAAGUUGGGAGGAAGGGUUGUAGAUUAAUACUCUGCAAUUUUGACGUUACCGACAGAAUAAGCACCGGCUAACUCUGUGCCAGCAGCCGCGGUAAUAA
rnacentral:rRNA from 1 species